rfam:Triticum aestivum genome assembly, contig: Triticum_aestivum_CS42_TGACv1_scaffold_000303_1AL
GAAGUACUCCCUCCGUCCCAAAAUAAGUGACUCAACUUUGUACUAACUUUGCACUAAAGCCAGUACAAAGUUGAGUCACUUAUUUUGGGACGGAGGGAGUAGAAU